rnacentral:rRNA from 1 species
AUUGAACGCUGGCGGCAGGCCUAACACAUGCAAGUCGAGCGGGGUUUUCGGACCUAGCGGCGGACGGGUGAGUAAUGCGUAGGAAGCUGCCCGAUAGAGGGGGAUACCAGUUGGAAACGACUGUUAAUACCGCAUAAUGUCUACGGACCAAAGUGUGGGACCUCCGGGCCACAUGCUAUCGGAUGCGCCUACGUGGGAUUAGCUAGUUGGUGAGGUAAUGGCUCACCAAGGCGACGAUCUCUAGCUGGUUUGAGAGGAUGAUCAGGCACACUGGAACUGUGACACGGUCCAGAAUCCUACGGGAGGCAGCAGUGGGGAAUAUUGGACAAUGGGCGCAAGCCUGAUCCAGCCAUGCCGCGUGUGUGAAGAAGGCCUUCGGGUUGUAAAGCACUUUCAGCGAGGAGGAAGGGGUGUGUGUUAAUAGUACACACCUUUGACGUUACUCGCAGAAGAAGCACCGGCUAACUCUGUGCCAGCCGCCGCCGUAACAC